rnacentral:rRNA from 1 species
CCCUUAGAUGUUCUGGGCCGCACGCGCGCUACACUGAUGCAUUCAACAAGCCUAGCCUUGACCGAGAGGUCCGGGUAAUCUUUGAAACUGCAUCGUGAUGGGGCUAGAUUAUUGCAAUUAUUAAUCUUCAACGAGGAAUGCCUAGUAAGCGGGAUUCAUCAAAUCGCGUUGAUUACGUCCCUGCCCUUUGUACACACCGCCCGUCGCUCCUACCGAUUGAAUGUGUUGGUGAGGAGCUCGGAUUGGCAGCAGUUGGUGGUUCGCCACCGGCUAUUGCUGAGAAGUCCUCCAAACCGCCCCAUUUAGAGGAAGGAGAAGUCGUAACA